UCUUAGUCGGGCUGGCGACUUAAAAACUAGCGCUGCAUGGGAGGCAACCCAUGUUUUCUUGCUUUUUCUUAUUUUCAUUUUUCUUUCGUUUUGUUUGUGUUUGUGUUUUGUUGCUUCUGUUGUUUGGUGCAGGUUGAUGCGUUGGAGAUUGUUUGUUCUUUGGAUGAGAGAUAGGCAGACAUCGUGGGAAACUACGGCUCACCACUUGGAUCGAUAUUCAGGGAUGUUUUUCUCUUUCACCCCUAUUUUUUGCGAGCACUGAGGACAGUGCUAGAUUUUAACUGUGGGGGGGUGUUUGUUGAUCCUAUGG
rnacentral:lncRNA from 1 species